rnacentral:rRNA from 1 species
CCUACGGGUGGCAGCAGUGAGGAAUAUUGGUCAAUGGGCGGGAGCCUGAACCAGCCAAGUCGCGUGAGGGACGACGGUCCUACGGAUUGUAAACCUCUUUUGUCGGGGAACAAAGGCGCCCACGGGUGGGCGGAUUAGUGUACCCGAAGAAAAAGCAUCGGAUUACGCCGUGCCAGCAGCCGCGGUAAUACGGAGGAUGCGAGCGUUAUCCGGAUUUAUUGGCUUUAAAGGGUGCGUAGGCUGAAAGUCAAGUCAGCGGUAAAACUGCGGUGCGCAACGGCAUACAGACGUUGAAACUGGCAGUCUUGAGUGGGGUAGAAGUAUGCGGAAUGCGUGGUGUAGCGGUGGAAUGCAUAGAUAUCAAGCAGAACUCCGAUUGCGAAGGCAGCAUACCGGCGCCCGACUGACGCUGAGGCACGAAAGCGUGGGUAUCGAACAGGAUUAGAUAACCUAGUAGUUC